rnacentral:lncRNA from 1 species
ACAUGUUUUAUUUGAAUGUGGCCCUGUUUUAAAUAAAACAAAGGAAAAAAUAAAUUCAAAUGAGUGUGUGUAGCCUCCCACAAAUAUUUAAAAGAGGUAUUAAAUAACUUGAACAUUUUUAAUAUGGCAAAACAGAAAACUACAAAUCUGCCCUAAGUUAUUGAAAAGAAAGUUUUUUUUUUGGACUUGGUGCAACUAACACCACACUCACAAGAUCACCAAAUCACAUAUGCUAUCACACACACCAUCAAGUUGGCACCACAACACAGAUCAAACAAGAAACAAAGGAAAAGAUGAUAUGCAUGAUGCACAUGAAAUGAUACACCACAAGUCUCACAUCCAUAACAUUGCACCACAAGGUUUCCAAACAUAAAAAGGAUUACAAAGGGGGAAGGAAAAACAUUGGGGCUGUCACAUGACUGGCCUUGGACCACGCGGUGCCAUAAUAUUUGAAAAUGUUAGGGAGACUUCCCAAGUGGUACUUAUUGUACUAAACUUUUAUACUCCCUCCGUCCACGAAUAAGUGUACAUUUAUCUUUAAAAUUUGUCCAUAAAAAAGUGUACAUCUAUCUUCUCAAUGCACUAUAAAUUAGAGAAAAAAUGCUUCUCUCUCAUCACGCGGUAAUCAAGACCAAUAACAUUUAACACAUGGUCUCCUUACUUUCUACAUGCGCUUAUCUUAUUGGGUGUGGAGUAAUUAAAGAUGACAGAGAUGAUAGCUUGCAUCUUUCCAAUGCAGUUUUUUUUACUUCACUCUAUAAUCUGUCUUGAAAUUUCUAUAUGCACACUUAUUCGCGGACGGAGGGAGUACUUUGAUAAUUAGUUAAAAUACAAGCUUAUAUAGCAUGUUUUUUUUGGCUCAAACAAUAAUAAUAUUGUUAAAUAUUAGUUACAUCAUUUUUUUCAUACAAUUUUAAUGUCGACCAUUAAAAAAUACUAAAUUUAAAUCGUAUAAAUUAUUUCCCCUUUUUUAGUAAGAAGAGUCCCCUUAAAUGAGAGAAAAUAAGAACAACAAACUCUCAUGCAGCCACAAGUUAAUUCAUAACACUUGCGCAAAAUCAUAGCGUAUAGAUGUGUGUGUUUCGUAUUUUAACGCUCUUAAGUAUUCGUGAAAGUAUUAUGGCUCAACAAAUAUCUUAAUAGAAGAUUUCAGUGUAUGAUUAGAUACGAGCAAACAAGUGGUUUCUAUGCAUAGUUUAUCACAUGUUUGUUUUCUGUAGUACUGGUUUAGAGGUGGCUGUUUGUUUAAUAUUUGUGUAUUAUUAACAUAAAUAAUAUUUGGG